UGGGGGAUAUUGCACAAUGGGGGGAACCCUGAUGCAGCGACGCCGCGUGGGUGAAGAAGCGCCUCGGCGCGUAAAGCCCUGUCAGCAGGGAAGAAAAUGACGGUACCUGAAGAAGAAGCCCCGGCUAACUACGUGCCAGCAGCCGCGGUAAUACGUAGGGGGCAAGCGUUAUCCGGAUUUACUGGGUGUAAAGGGGGCGCAGACGGCGAUGCAAGCCAGGAGUGAAAGCCCGGGGCCCAACCCCGGGACUGCUCUUGGAACUGCGUGGCUGGAGUGCAGGAGGGGCAGGCGGAAUUCCUGGUGUAGCGGUGAAAUGCGUAGAUAUCAGGAGGAACACCGGUGGCGAAGGCGGCCUGCUGGACUGCAACUGACGUUGAGGCCCGAAAGCGUGGGGAGCAAACAGG
rnacentral:rRNA from 2 species